rnacentral:rRNA from 1 species
GGGUUGUGAGGUUAAGCGACUAAGCGUACACGGUGGAUGCCCUGGCAGUCAGAGGCGAUGAAGGACGUGCUAAUCUGCGAUAAGCGUCGGUGAGGUGAUAUGAACCGUUAUAACCGGCGAUUUCCGAAUGGGGAAACCCAGUGUGUUUCGACACACUAUCAUUAACUGAAUCCAUAGGUUAAUGAGGCGAACCGGGGGAACUGAAACAUCUAAGUACCCCGAGGAAAAGAAAUCAACCGAGAUUCCCCCAGUAGCGGCGAGCGAACGGGGAGGAGCCCAGAGCCUGAAUCAGUGUGUGUGUUAGUGGAAGCGUCUGGAAAGGCGUGCGAUACAGGGUGACAGCCCCGUACACAAAAAUGCACAUAUUGUGAGCUCGAUGAGUAGGGCGGGACACGUGGUAUCCUGUCUGAAUAUGGGGGGACCAUCCUCCAAGGCUAAAUACUCCUGACUGACCGAUAGUGAACCAGUACCGUGAGGGAAAGGCGAAAAGAACCCCGGCGAGGGGAGUGAAAAAGAACCUGAAACCGUGUACGUACAAGCAGUGGGAGCCUCUUAAUGGGGUGACUGCGUACCUUUUGUAUAAUGGGUCAGCGACUUAUAUUCUGUAGCAAGGUUAACCGAAUAGGGGAGCCGAAGGGAAACCGAGUCUUAACUGGGCGUUAAGUUGCAGGGUAUAGACCCGAAACCCGGUGAUCUAGCCAUGGGCAGGUUGAAGGUUGGGUAACACUAACUGGAGGACCGAACCGACUAAUGUUGAAAAAUUAGCGGAUGACUUGUGGCUGGGGGUGAAAGGCCAAUCAAACCGGGAGAUAGCUGGUUCUCCCCGAAAGCUAUUUAGGUAGCGCCUCGUGAAUUCAUCUCCGGGGGUAGAGCACUGUUUCGGCAAGGGGGUCAUCCCGACUUACCAACCCGAUGCAAACUGCGAAUACCGGAGAAUGUUAUCACGGGAGACACACGGCGGGUGCUAACGUCCGUCGUGAAGAGGGAAACAACCCAGACCGCCAGCUAAGGUCCCAAAGUCAUGGUUAAGUGGGAAACGAUGUGGGAAGGCCCAGACAGCCAGGAUGUUGGCUUAGAAGCAGCCAUCAUUUAAAGAAAGCGUAAUAGCUCACUGGUCGAGUCGGCCUGCGCGGAAGAUGUAACGGGGCUAAACCAUGCACCGAAGCUGCGGCAGCGACACUAUGUGUUGUUGGGUAGGGGAGCGUUCUGUAAGC